CAAUAGCGUAUAUUAAAGUUGUUGCAGUUAAAAAGCUCGUAGUUGAAUUUUUGCUUGCCGCCGAUGUCGGAACUUCCGUACGUUCGGCGGCGUGCAUCCUUGGGUGGAACCUGUGUGGCAUUAGGUUGUCGUGCAGGGGAUGCUCAUCGUUUACUGUGAAAAAAUUAGAGUGUUCAAAGCAGGCUUUCGCUUGAAUACAUUAGCAUGGAAUAAUAGAAUAGGACUUUGGUUCUAUUUUGUUGGUUUCUAGGACCGAAGUAAUGAUUAAUAGGGAUAGUUGGGGGCAUUAGUAUUUAAUUGUCAGAGGUGAAAUUCUUGGAUUUAUGAAAGACUAACAUCUGCGAAAGCAUUUGCCAAGGAUGUUUUCAUUGA
rnacentral:rRNA from 1 species